AGCCCCUCAUUUUCCAUUGACUUCUCUAUCUCUGUCUCGCAACUAGCCACACCACCGAUUCACUCAAAAUUCCAAAAACACUUUAUUUUUUUCCUUUUCUUUUUCUCCCUUCUCGCCCUUACCUCUCGCAGUUCACUCCACGACUCACCACUGUGGCCGGCACGAGUUCGUCAUUUCCGGUGACUACAAACGAACUCAAAACAAACCCUCUCUCACAUUCAAUCCAACUCUCAAAUCUAUUUCUAGAAAUUCUGUGCCGUUUUCGAUUAUUAAGUUGGUGCCUGAAGUCCAACGAGCUGCUUCCAGCCGAACGCUAGCGAUCGGACCUUGCUGUUACUACCAGUCGGUUAACCUUUGUCUCAGAAACCAAAAUCAUCCGUUGCAUGCCUCGAUUCGUUACGGUUUAAGGUGAAUUGGAGAGUAGCCUCCAAAAGCCUGAGGAUUCAGUUCGAGAAGCUCCAUAAUACAUUGGGGACCAAGCUGAAUUUGAUAUCAUUAAGCUCAAGACAAGAAUUAGUCCAUUUCCAUCUCAAAAAGCAGUAGAUGACUAUUAAACCAAUGCAUCAGGUUUGUCGAAAACUUGCUCAAAGAGCAAACUGUCAGUGUGGUUUGAGCUGGUUGUAA
rnacentral:sRNA from 1 species